rnacentral:rRNA from 1 species
UACGAAGGGGGCUAGCGUUGCUCGGAAUCACUGGGCGUAAAGGGUGCGUAGGCGGGUCUUUAAGUCAGGGGUGAAAUCCUGGAGCUCAACUCCAGAACUGCCUUUGAUACUGAAGAUCUUGAGUUUGGGAGAGGUGAGUGGAACUGCGAGUGUAGAGGUGAAAUUCGUAGAUAUUCGCAAGAACACCAGUGGCGAAGGCGGCUCACUGGCCCGAUACUGACGCUGAGGCACGAAAGCGUGGGGAGCAAACAGG